GGCCUCCGAAUGAUGAGCGAAUAAAUAAUAUUCAUCGGAGUAACUGGUGAGGUUAAAAGUGCAUGAAGAUGAAGGUUUAGGACGUGUCUGCUCGGCAGGUCAGCGCUGCCUUUGCUGUACUCACGUCGGAGCGAUGGAAGACCUGCUGUGACCAUGUGCAUAAGCUUCUUAGAAGAUACGAGACUCCCUGCGGGCACAGUAAAGGCCCUAUCACCGCCUGGAGCCGAGCUGAGCGGCUCCGUCUGAGGACAGCCUGCACUGCCAGCCAAGUCAUGUGAGGGAAAGUUAGUGUCGCUUUCAGCCCGUAGGUUUAGAGAUCAGAACUAAAAUGUGCCUUCCUUUUGGAAUGACGACAACAGUGAAACUAAAAGUCGUAAAGGAAGUCUCCUGGCUGAGGUCUGAAGCAGCAGUUCUCACUCUGCAGCGAAACUGAAAGGGAGGCAGCAGCCCUCAGCCUUCCUCACCUCUCCUUGUGGCCACGUGGGAGCAUCACGGGAUCGUUCUUCGUUUGGUCUAACACGGGUCGUCACUUUGUCAGUAGGAGGAAUCUGGUGUGCAAAAAGUGAAAAGGCAGUCUCUUUCAAUCAGGCUUCUGAUCACCGGAGAAACUAUUUGUAAAUCUCUUUUUAUUUAUUCCAUUUUCUGGGCAUUUUCAGGCUUCAUGCAAUUGCAUGCAUUAAAUUUUCCACUUAGCUUGUAAGGAUUUUAAACCUUUCUAUGGUCACACAGUUUAUCACUCACACUCUAAGAAAUGCACUUGGGCCUAAUUUCUCCCCAGUGAGCCUCAGGUAAAAUUUCAACUUAAAUUCCCAAGGGUUCCUGUAUUCUGUCUAUUUUUCCCCAAAGGAAAGAGCAGAAGAAAGAAUGGGAGCAGACUCAUAAAUUAUACUCACUUAUUUUAACAAGAGAGUUAGAUGUUACAUGUUCUCUCACAACCGUCACCCGCAUUCCUUACCGACAUACAGGCCUCUUGCCUUGUGCAAUUGGACUAGUCAGUGAAUAGUUCAGUAGCAUAAUAUCUCAUUACAAGAGCAACGGCACAAUUUAACAUUCAAACUGGGAUAGUUUUGAGAGGGAUAAGAAUUUCUAUUGAUAAAUACAGUGGUGCCUCGGUUUUCGAACGUCUCCCUUAACGAACAUUUCGGGUUAGGAACCCCGUAAACCCAGAAGGAAAUGCUUCGGUUUUCGAACAUGCUUCGGAAGUCGAACAUGCCACCCGGCUUCCAUUGAGGGCAAGAUCCUGGGGCCCAGCUGUCGUCUGUGGAUCCCUCGGUUUUCCAGCGUUUCAGAACUGGAACAGUCUUCCGGAACGGAUCACAUUCAAAAACCGAGGGACCACUGUAUGCUGGCAGCUAACAUUGAGGUCACCAGGCAGUGACAAUUCCUUCCUUCUAUAAGCUUCUGGAACAUUUUAGGUUCCUGUCAAUCCCAAGUCUGUUCUCUUUGCCUCUCAUGUAUUCGGCAAGGUCCUUAUAAAAUGGAUAACAAAAUGUAUGACAAAGAAAUUGAUGCUAAUUUUUAGUAAAACAUAUGUUUUAUAAGUUAAAACGAUGAUGUAUUUGUUUAAAAGUUAGCAACAUUAUACAAGGUGACUAUAUGGAUAUAAGUACUUGGGCGAUUUUAAAUGCUGUGUUGAAAUUACAUUGGCUAGUAAAAAUGAGUUUAUAUAGCUGGCUGACAGAUGUGAGAUAAAUAAGAUUGCACGAUUAUGUUCAAAUUGGGUUCAAACUUGCCCAAAUUGUGCAUAUUUACAACUCCCUUCCAGGCCACGUAUAUUGUAAUAAGAAAUGCCGCAUGCAACUAAACAAACAGCAUCUUUGGGUUGGGUUGCCCAUAUUUUCGUUUUAAGGAACUCUUAGGGAAUUGUGGAAGGUGUUUUUUGAGAGGAUGGACAAACAAGAAGUGGCAAGAGGAUGAGCUUUGGAUUAUAAAUAAAGGAAAGAAUUCUUAGUUUGAGCAUUAAGAACAUUUACUGUAUUCUGAUACUUUAAAUAGGGUAGUGUCAACUAUCUAUAUGGCCCCAGGUCUGCCUGGUGGCCUUGCAGUACAGAAAGGAAUGUUAAAACUGGGGAAGACAGAGCCAUUCUUCCAGUGCAGCAGUUAGUGCACAUUGCCAGGGGUUUCUCUGGAUAUGUCAGCCUGCUGCCUUGCUCCCGCUUGCUGCUCCUGCUGUCACCAGGAUUGUUGAUAACAUCCCCGAGGGCUGGGGUAGAUCAUCAGUUUCACUAUCUGAUUUCUAAUAAAUCAUUUCUUACUUAAUCUUCCAUAGUCAAAUUAUACUUUUCACAAAUAAGAUCACUGAGUGUUCUUUUUUUAACUGUUUGGUAAACUGAAUUUUGCAUUUCCCGAGAUCAGACUGUGCUCCUGGAGGCCCCCUUUGAGAGAUUCCUUUAUAAUAGCAUCCCAUAAUGCUUGGAGAAAGCAUGCCCCAAACUGGAGAUGUGUAUAAAUGUGUGUCCCAUGAGUUACUGAGUACACUGGAUAUCUAAAAGAAUAAUUAGCUGUGUAUUUAUGAAUGGAUACUAGACUGGAAGGACCAGAGAGACGAGAGCUUGCCCUCCCACAUGAUCUUGCUCUCAGGUCCAUGAAGCUUUUACUUAUAAACAAAUGAGAAAAAGGCAAGACAUUUAGAUUCUCCUAGACAUGUAAGUAAGAUAGAGUUGGUUCCCAAAAUCUUUUAUUGUUGACUUAAUUCAAGAUUAUUUUAUUCAUUCAAUAAACAUGUACAAUAAACAGAGAA